rnacentral:tRNA from 1 species
GGGCGUGUGGCGGAAUUGGUUUACGCGUACGAUUCAAAAUCGUAUGGACUUUGUCCAUGUGGGUUCGACUCCCACCACGCCCA